rnacentral:tRNA from 3 species
GGGCAUGUAGCUCAGCUGGUCAGAGCACUACACUGAUAAUGUAGGGGUCGACUUUUAAAUACAUGUGAGCCCA